CAAGUCGAACGCGAAAGCCUCCUUCGGGGGGCAAGUAGAGUGGCGCACGGGUGAGUAACACGUAGGUAAUCUACCUUUGGAUUGGGAAUAACAACCGGAAACGGUUGCUAAUACCGAAUAAUGCAGCGGCACCUAAUGGUGACAGUUGUUAAAGCGGGGGAUCGCAAGACCUCGCGUCUAAAGAGGAGCCUGCGGCGGAUUAGCUAGUUGGUAAGGUAACGGCUUACCAAGGCGAUGAUCCGUAGCCGGCCUGAGAGGGCGGUCGGCCACACUGACACUGACAUACGGGUCAGACUCCUACGGGAGGCAGCAGUCGGGAAUUUUGGGCAAUGGGCGAAAGCCUGACCCAGCAACGCCGCGUGAAGGAUGAAAUCCUUCGGGAUGUAAACUUCGCAAGAACGGGAAGAAUAAGUGGGAGUUAAUAUCUCUCACGAUGACGGUACUGUUUGUAAGCUCCGGCUAACUCCGUGCCAGCAGCCGCGGUAAUACGGGGGGAGCAAGCGUUGUUCGGAUUUACUGGGCGUAAAGGGCGCGUAGGCGGCCACCGCAAGUCGACUGUGAAAUCUCCGGGCUUAACCCGGAAAGGUCAGCCGAUACUGCGGGGCUAGAGUGCAGAAGGGGCAACUGGAAUUCUCGGUGUAGCGGUGAAAUGCGUAGAUAUCGAGAGGAACACCUGCGGCGAAGGCGGGUUGCUGGGCUGACACUGACGCUGAGGCGCGAAAGCUAGGGGAGCGAACGGGAUUAGAUACCCCGGUAGUCCUAGCCUUAAACGAUGAAUGCUUGGUGUCUGGGGUUUUAUAGUCCCCGGGUGCCGUCGCUAACGCUUUAAGCAUUCCGCC
rnacentral:rRNA from 1 species